rnacentral:rRNA from 1 species
CCUACGGGUGGCAGCAGUGGGGAAUAUUGCGCAAUGGGCGAAAGCCUGACGCAGCGACGCCGCGUGAGGGAUGAAGGUCUUCGGAUCGUAAACCUCUGUCAGCAGGGAAGAACGGUCACUGUGCUAAUCAGCAGUGAAUUGACGGUACCUGCAAAGGAAGCACCGGCUAACUCCGUGCCAGCAGCCGCGGUAAUACGGAGGGUGCGAGCGUUAAUCGGAAUUACUGGGCGUAAAGCGCUCGUAGGCGGUAUGUCAAGUCAAGGGUGAAAGCCCCGCGCCCAACGUGGGAACUGACUUUGAAACUGGCAAACUGGAGUGUGUGAGAGGAUAGUGGAAUUCCAGGUGUAGGGGUGAAAUCCGUAGAUAUCUGGAAGAACAUCAGUGGCGAAGGCGACUAUCUGGCACAUAACUGACGCUGAGGAGCGAAAGCGUGGGUAGCAAACAGGAUUAGAUACCCUAGUAGUC